AUACGGAGGAUCCGAGCGUUAUCCGGAUUUAUUGGGUUUAAAGGGAGCGUAGGCGGACGCUUAAGUCAGUUGUGAAAGUUUGCGGCUCAACCGUAAAAUUGCAGUUGAUACUGCGUGUCUUGAGUACAGUAGAGGCAGGCGGAAUUCGUGGUGUAGCGGUGAAAUGCUUAGAUAUCACGAAGAACUCCGAUUGCGAAGGCAGCCUGCUGGACUGUAACUGACGCUGAUGCUCGAAAGUGUGGGUAUCAAACAGGAUUAGAUACCCUGGUAGUCCACACAGUAAACGAUGAAUACUCGCUGUUUGCGAUAUACAGUAAGCGGCCAAGCGAAAGCGUUAAGUAUUCCCCCUGGGGAGUACGCCGGCAACGGUGAAACUCAAAUGAAUUGACGGGG
rnacentral:rRNA from 1 species